rnacentral:rRNA from 1 species
UACGUAGGGGGCAAGCGUUGUCCGGAUUUAUUGGGCGUAAAGAGCGUGUAGGCGGCCUGGUAGGUCAGCUGUGAAAACUCGAGGCUCAACCUCGAGACGCCGGUUGAAACCAUCAGGCUAGAGUCCGGAAGAGGAGAGUGGAAUUCCCGGUGUAGCGGUGAAAUGCGUAGAGAUCAGGAAGAACACCGGUGGCGAAAGCGCUCUGCUAGGCCGCAACUGACACUGAGGGACGAAAGCUAGGGGAGCGAAUGGG